GCAUUUUGGGCCAAUUACUUGGAAACGAAAUCAAUUGAAGCCUGAUACGUUAGCUCUGAAUUCUCAAAUCCUUUUCCUGUGGCCGGAGAUGCUCAAGUAUUUGGCUAAAUUUUUCCGUCAAAAGCAUGUCUUGAUUCCAGUUUUCCAUCUAUGCCAUUAAAAAUCUCUGUAAACCAUCAACAAGAGUUACAAAUCAAAGCCACUAGUCGUUGGAGAUAUUGUCGUGAUGCCUGUGGUCCCAGAGGUCAGAGUCCUAGAUUAGUAGAUUGCAAGUCUCCACUAGUGCCGAUUCAGUGGCAGCGGUUUGUUUAGUUAGCAAAUCAGGAAGUCUGCACCCAGGUUGAGUGGGCGAAAAGAAGAGUAAAAAUAAGAAAGAUAAAAAGAGCCAGAAGGGAAAGACUACGACACUAUAAAACUUUGUUACUGAUCCACGGCUAACGAACAAAAGACAGCAACAUUGGA